rnacentral:rRNA from 1 species
UGGGGAAUCUUGGACAAUGGGCGCAAGCCUGAUCCAGCCAUGCCGCGUGGGUGAAGAAGGCCUUAGGGUUGUAAAGCCCUUUCAGUCGUGACGAUGAUGACGGUAGCGACAGAAGAAGCCCCGGCUAACUCCGUGCCAGCAGCCGCGGUAAUACGGAGGGGGUUAGCGUUGCUCGGAAUCACUGGGCGUAAAGCGCGCGUAGGCGGGUCGCUAAGUCAGGGGUGAAAUCCUGGAGCUCAACUCCAGAACUGCCUUUGAUACUGGCGACCUUGAGUCCGGGAGAGGUGAGUGGAAUUGCGAGUGUAGAGGUGAAAUUCGUAGAUAUUCGCAAGAACACCAGUGGCGAAGGCGGCUCACUGGCCCGGAACUGACGCUGAGGUGCGAAAGCGUGGGGAGCAAACAGGAUUAGAUACCCCUGUAGUCC